ACACCAGCGCCACAAGUGGCAACCGUUUUUAUUGGGCCUAAAGCGUCCGUAGCUGGUUCUAUAAAUUUCCUGUGAAAUCACUAGGCUUAACCUAGUGGCGUGCAGGAAACACUAUAGAACUAGGGACCGGGAGGCGUCAGAUGUAUUCCUAAGGGAGCGGUAAAAUGCUAUAAUCUUAGGAGGACUACCUGUGGCGAAGGCGUCUGACGAGAACGGAUCCGACAGUGAGGGACGAAAGCCAGGGGAGCGAACCGGAUUAGAAACCCCGGUAGUCC
rnacentral:rRNA from 1 species